rnacentral:tRNA from 1 species
CAAAAUAUAGCUCAACCAAGAGCAUUCAGCUUACACCUGAAAGAUGUCCACUAAACAGGACUAUUUUGA